GUAAGAUGGCUCAUUAGUAGUCAAGGUCAUCAUACAUCCAAGUAUUAUUAUUAAUAUUUGAAUUUAUUAUUGGUUCAUUUUCCCCUUUCAUAUAUUUGUAUGUCUUUAAGAUAACCGAACGUAGCUUUUUUUUGGCUUAACUCUUUAUAAAGUUUAAUAUAAAAAAAGAAGAUGUGGUAUGAUUGCCAAUGAGACAACUAUCCACAAAAGACCAAAAUAACACAGACAUUAACAACUAUAGGUCACCGUACGACCUUCAACAAUGAGCAAAGCCCAUACCGCAUAGUCAGCUAUAAAAUGCACCGAUAAGACAAUGUAAAACAAUUCAAACGAGGAAACUAACGGUCUUAUUUAUGUAAAAAAAAAAAUGAACGAAAACAAAUAUGUAACACAUAAACAAACGACAACCACUGAAUUACAGGCUCCUGACUUGGGACAGGCACAUACAUAAAUAAUGUGGCGGGGUUGAACAUGUUAGUGUUUAAUAGGGUCAAAAAUAACACCUUAUCAGUGUACAGAUACAUCCAUAUAAAGCUUACAUAAGACAGCAUGUUGACAUUAUUGUUUCUUAUAUAUAAUUGGCCAUGUUUCCGUGCAAG
rnacentral:lncRNA from 1 species